rnacentral:rRNA from 1 species
UACAGGCUUAACACAUGCAAAUCGAGGGGCAGCAUGGUCUUAGCUUGCUAAGGCCGAUGGCGACCGGCGCACGGGUGAGUAACACGUAUCCAACCUGCCGUCUACUCUUGGACAGCCUUCUGAAAGGAAGAUUAAUACAAGAUGGCAUCAUGAGUCCGCAUGUUCACAUGAUUAAAGGUAUUCCGGUAGACGAUGGGGAUGCGUUCCAUUAGAUAGUAGGCGGGGUAACGGCCCACCUAGUCUUCGAUGGAUAGGGGUUCUGAGAGGAAGGUCCCCCACAUUGGAACUGAGACACGGUCCAAACUCCUACGGGAGGCAGCAGUGAGGAAUAUUGGUCAAUGGGCGAGAGCCUGAACCAGCCAAGUAGCGUGAAGGAUGACUGCCCUAUGGGUUGUAAACUUCUUUUAUAAAGGAAUAAAGUCGGGUAUGGAUACCCGUUUGCAUGUACUUUAUGAAUAAGGAUCGGCUAACUCCGUGCCAGCAGCCGCGGUAAUACGGAGGAUCCGAGCGUUAUCCGGGUUUAUUGGGUUUAAAGGGAGCGUAGAUGGAUGUUUAAGUCAGUUGUGAAAGUUUGCGGCUCAACCGUAAAAUUGCAGUUGAUACUGGAUAUCUUGAGUGCAGUUGAGGCAGGCGGAAUUCGUGGUGUAGCGGUGAAAUGCUUAGAUAUCACGAAGAACUCCGAUUGCGAAGGCAGCCUGCUAAGCUGCAACUGACAUUGAGGCUCGAAAGUGUGGGUAUCAAACAGGAUUAGAUACCCUGGUAGUCCACACGGUAAACGAUGAAUACUCGCUGUUUGCGAUAUACAGCAAGCGGCCAAGCGAAAGCGUUAAGUAUUCCACCUGGGGAGUACGCCGGCAACGGUGAAACUCAAAGGAAUUGACGGGGGCCCGCACAAGCGGAGGAACAUGUGGUUUAAUUCGAUGAUACGCGAGGAACCUUACCCGGGCUUAAAUUGCAGAUGAAUUACGGUGAAAGCCGUAAGCCGCAAGGCAUCUGUGAAGGUGCUGCAUGGUUGUCGUCAGCUCGUGCCGUGAGGUGUCGGCUUAAGUGCCAUAACGAGCGCAACCCUUGUUGUCAGUUACUAACAGGUUCCGCUGAGGACUCUGACAAGACUGCCAUCGUAAGAUGUGAGGAAGGUGGGGAUGACGUCAAAUCAGCACGGCCCUUACGUCCGGGGCUACACACGUGUUACAAUGGGGGGUACAGAGGGCCGCUACCACGCGAGUGGAUGCCAAUCCCCAAAACCUCUCUCAGUUCGGACUGGAGUCUGCAACCCGACUCCACGAAGCUGGAUUCGCUAGUAAUCGCGCAUCAGCCACGGCAAGGUGAAUACGUUCCCGGGCCUUGUACACACCGCCCGUCAAGCCAUGGGAGCCGGGGGUACCUGAAGUGCGUAACCGAGAGGAGCGCCCUAGGGUAAAACUGGUGACUGGGGCUC